rnacentral:tRNA from 1 species
GUUUUAAUAAUUUAAUAUUAAAAUACUGGUCUUGUAAACCAGAAAUAAGAACACCUUUUAAAACA